AUACUUACCUGGACGGGGUCAAUGAGUGAUCAGGAAGACUCAUGGCCUAGAGCAGUGACCUCCAUUGCAGAAAUUUCUAUUUGAUCAUCAAACUACACAAAUUUCUAAUUUUAUCACUAUCGUUUUUAAUUGAUUCUGUUUUAGUUACUCUUUGUUUAAUC
rnacentral:snRNA from 13 species